UUUAAAUGGCCGCAGUAUAUUAACUGUGCAAAGGUAGCAUAAUCAUUAGUUUUUUAAUUGAAGGCUGGUAUGAAUGGUUGGACGAAAUAUUAACUGUUUCAUAAAAAUUUAUAUUAGAAUUUUAUUUUUUAGUUAAAAAGCUAAAAUAUAUUUAAAAGACGAGAAGACCCUAUAAAUCUUUAUAUUUAAAUUAUUAUAAUUUUAUAGAUUUUUUUUAUUAUAAUUAUUGAUAAUAUUUUAUUGGGGUGAUAUUAAAAUUUAAUAAACUUUUAAUUAUUUAAAUCAUUAAUUUAUGAAUAAUUGAUCCGUUAUUAAUGAUUAAAAAAAUAAGUUACUUUAGGGAUAACAGCGUAAUUUUUUUGAAGAGUUCUUAUCAAUAAAAAAGAUUGCGACCUCGAUGUUGGAUUAAGAUAUAAUUUUAGGUGUAGUAGCUUAAAUUUUAAGU
rnacentral:rRNA from 1 species